rnacentral:rRNA from 1 species
UACAGAGGUCUCAAGCGUUGUUCGGAUUCAUUGGCGUAAAGGGGUGCGUAGGCGGCGCGGUAAGUCGGGUGUGAAAUCUCGGAGCUUAACUCCGAAACUGCAUUCGAUACUGCCGUGCUUGAGGACUGGAGAGGAGACUGGAAUUUACGGUGUAGCGGUGAAAUGCGUAGAUAUCGUAAGGAAGGACCAGUGGCGAAGGCGGGUCUCUGGACAGUUCCUGACGCUGAGGCACGAAGGUCAGGGAGCAAACGGG